UCUCCGUUGGUGAACCAGCGGAGGGAUCAUUACAGAGUUGCAAAACUCCCACAAACCAUCGCGAAUCUUACCCGUACGGUUGCCUCGGCGCUGGCGGUCCGGAAGGCCUUCGGGCCCCCGGACCCUCGGGUCUCCCGCUCGCGGGAGGCUGCCCGCCGGAGUGCCGAAACCAAACUCUUGAUAUUUUAUGUCUCUCUGAGUAAACUUUUAAAUAAGUCAAAACUUUCAACAACGGAUCUCUUGGUUCUGGCAUCGAUGAAGAACGCAGC
rnacentral:misc_RNA from 1 species